rnacentral:lncRNA from 1 species
UUUUUUUCUACACUGUUUUCCAUCUUUUCACUUAAGUUUUGACUUGGUUUUUUUAAGUUUUGCUGAUAUAUUUGUUAUUCAAAAAGUAUACACAUGUUGAAAAAAGAGGGACGAAAGAUACCAAAGGGACAGUCAAACUCAUAAAUCUAAAACAAACUGACAACGCCAUGGCUAAAAAUGAAAAAGACAAACAAACAACAGCACACACGACACAACAUAGAAAACUAAAGAAUAAACAACACGAACCCCACCAAAAAACUAGGGGUGCUCUCAGGUGCUCCGGAAGGGUAAGCAGAAAUUGCUCCAAAGUUUAUACCUUUAUGCCUAAGUAAGAAAUUAUUCUAAGUAAUAACUUAUUUGUUUAAAGGGAAAGGAUUUCUUAAGAAC